AUUGAACGCUGGCGGCAGGCCUAACACAUGCAAGUCGAGCGAGUGGCGGACGGGUGAGUAAUGUCUGGGAAACUGCCCGAUGGAGGGGGAUAACUACUGGAAACGGUAGCUAAUACCGCAUACCAUCAGAUGUACCCAUAUGGGAUUAGCUAGUUGGUGGGGUAACGGCUCACCAAGGCGACGAUCCCUAGCUGGUCUGAGAGGAUGACCAGCCACACUGGAACUGAGACACGGGCCAGACUCCGACGGGAGGCAGCAGUGGGGAAUAUUGCACAAUGGGCGAAAGCAUGAUGCAGCCAUGCCGCGUGUAUGAAGAAGGCCUUCGGGUUGUAAAGUACUUUCAGCGGGGAGGCGUUACCCGCAGAAGAAGCACCGGCUAACUCCGUGCCAGCCGCCGCGGUAAUAC
rnacentral:rRNA from 1 species